rnacentral:tRNA from 1 species
UGCCGGCGUGGUGGAAUGGUAGACACGGUAGACUCAAAAUCUACUGUCCGCGAGGAUGUAAGAGUUCAAGUCUCUUCGCCGGUAU